AUGGGUGAAGGGUCUGGGGGGCUAACAAUCUUAGGCUCUUUUUCUGAGGCAGAGCUGCUUUUGGGCAACGCCUCCUUGACAAUACUCAGAGCCCAGCCUAAGGAUGCAGGACUCUACAGCUGCAGUGUGGGAUAUGGAGGUGAAGAACGGCACAGUGAGAGCCUCUUCAGUGUCAUUGCUGCCCCCCACAUCUCCUUGUUUCCAGCCCAAGUCUCUCUAGGAGAGAAGACCACCUUCGUGUGCCAGAUCAAAGGUUUCUACCCUGCAGGGGGCCUUCAGGCCUGGUGGCUAAGGAAUGGGCAGAAGCUACCAGAGGCCAUCCCUAUGGGGUCCCCCACACAAAACCCUGAUGGCACAUUUGAUUUGGAGCUGAUCUUAAAUUUGACCCUGGAGUCCCAUGACCUAGAAGCCAACUUUACCUGUCAUGUGACUCACCCUGCUUUGGAACAUCCCCUGCAACAGAUAUUAGAGAUGGAGGUCAAAGAAGAAAAGUGGUGGGAAGAUGUUCAGAACAACAGUAGGCCAUCAAUUAGCAGCAUCCUGAUCACCACCUUGGGUAUUACUGUUCUAGGUUUUGCCAUCAUCCACAGCUUGAGGAGGAACAGAGGUGACUGGGGAGCAAGGAGGAUGGGGAAUCAAGAAGUAUAAGAAGGGAGAUGGGAGGAAUGAAACAGGGAGAAUUGAGUAUCCUGGAAAGGAUGGGAAAGGGAAGAAGAUGGGGGUGAAAAAGGACAAG
rnacentral:lncRNA from 1 species